ACACAAUCAAAGAGCCAGCUCUGCAUCUGGGUUUCUGCUGUCUUUUUCUCUUAUCUUCAGACAAGUUCUCUACACCACAUUGAGCUGUAUCCUGAUACCACUCCAGAGACUGAGCUCUGUGCACAUACAACAGCCUGCAUCUGAAAGAACCAGGAUGUAUUGGAAAACUGCAAGACAAAAACAUACAGCAACAAAACGGUUCCAGAGGUAGAAGAUAGAGACAGAUGGAGCCUGAAGCAGAGCCAAAGGAGUGAGUCUUGUGGCAACAAUACAGGAAGAGAC